UUCCCAGGGGGGCCUCGCUAGGAGGCUGAGAUUCCGCCGGCUGGGCUUUCGAGCCUUAAGCAACGCGGUGACCCUCCGAACCUGAUCCGGAUCAUACCGGCGUAGGGAUGCGG
rnacentral:ncRNA from 1 species